UGUAUGACCUCACCUUGGAAGCGAUGUCAUCCCUGCUGCCACCUACUAUUGACUAGAAGCAAGUAAGCCCCACCUACAUGCCCAGGUGGGAAUCCCAACAGGAUGGGGAGGAUCAGUGGGUCUUUAGGGUUUGUGGCCACACCACGUAGGGUCGUCCCGGGAUCCCUCCAUAGGCUCAUCAAGGGGCUGGCCAUAGACCUUGGGGGGAGUAGACAACUAUGUGAGCAGAGGGCUGGGUGGGGGGUGCAUGCAGACCUGCACAGGCCUGGGUGGUUCCCCCGAGGUUGUCCAUUGGGUUGACAUGUUGGCUGCUCUGCUGGCAGGAACCCUCCCUCCAGGUGCAGGAAGCCCCUGUGAACUUGGAACCUCCCCGCCCCAGGGCUUGGAGACCAGGUGGAACAGGGGAGGCCAUCAGGCUGGACAGAGCAGCAGGGAUGGAGAGAGGCGACCCAGUCCUUGGAUCUCUGCGGGGCUGUCCCUGCCACUCUGGGGAUGCUGGGCAGACGUCACAGGCUGGGUCUCCACCCUGAGGACGUUCCAGGUCAGGGUGGUCUCCAGAGGUGGCGCUGCCUGGCCUGGCCCUGGAGUUAGCAUCCGAUGGCUCUACCCUCCUGCUGCCCCAUCGCGUCUGCUGCCCACUGGCUGA
rnacentral:lncRNA from 1 species